GAGAUUUUUACGCACGGUGUAUAUUAACGUCACUGUGACUUUAAAAAAAAAGGUAAAUUCUGACCUGUCGUGUUUUUUGUUUUUAAAAUGAGAUACUGGAUGUGACGUGCAGAGCAGUCUGUUAGAAAGUGAAGAGCCUGUGAGGCCCUGGGGUGUUUCUUUUUUAAAAGAAAAAUGUUCGAACAAUAGAAGCAGACAGGCUGGGUGUGGGCAGCUCUCACGGACCAAGCUUUCUAGUGUUUUUUGUUUCAGUUUUCAGGUUCUGGCUUUAAGCAGUAGCUGUUGUGAGCUUGAGGAGGUAUAGUUUCGAAGGUGGGGGUUCUCUCUGCUACUACCCAAAUUCAGCGUGAGACAGGAUAGCAAAUGGCUUCGCAAAUGUCCCCACCUCUGCCUGAGCCCCGGAAUGUUCGUGGAAGGUAGCCGAUGUAAGUUUUUUUUAAAAAAAAAGACACCCAGAAAUGCUCUUGCACACAACUGAACUGUUCUUUUUCCCCAACCAUCAAUAAAUUGCCAUGACAGUU